GAAGCACGGGGGAGAAGACCGCAGAGGACAAUAAAGCUCACUUUCCAGAAGAAGUGAUAACCACUGUGAAGAAUAAUUUCUAUGUGGAUGAUUGCUUAAAAUCCAUGUCUAUGGAGCAGGAAGCAAUUCAAGUGGUAAAACAUCUGACUUCCCUCUGCAAUA